UACGUAGGGAGCAAGCGUUGUUCGGAUUUACUGGGCGUAAAGGGCGCGUAGGCGGCAAAUCAAGUCAGCUGUGAAAUCUCCGGGCUUAACUCGGAACGGUCAGCUGAUACUGCUUUGCUAGAGUGCAGAAAGGGCAAUCGGAAUUCUUGGUGUAGCGGUGAAAUGCGUAGAUAUCAAGAGGAACACCUGAGGCGAAGGCGGGUUGCUAGGCUGACACUGACGCUGAGGCGCGAAAGCCAGGGGAGCAAACGGGAUUAGAAACCCCCGUAGUCC
rnacentral:rRNA from 1 species